UGGGGAAUCUUGCGCAAUGGACGAAAGUCUGACGCAGCCAUGCCGCGUGAGUGAAGAAGGCCUUCGGGUUGUAAAGCUCUGUCGAGUGGGAAGAAAGGGUCAAGGUUAACAGCCUUGAAAGUUGACGGUACCACUAAAGGAAGCACCGGCUAACUCUGUGCCAGCAGCCGCGGUAAUACAGAGUGUGCAAGCGUUGCUCGGAAUCAUUGGGCGUAAAGGGUGUGUAGGCGGUCUCAUUUGUCUGAUGUGAAAGCCCUGGGCUUAACCCGGGAAGUGCAUCGGAAACGGUGGGACUCGAGUACUGGAGAGGUAAGCAGAAUUCCCGGUGUAGCGGUGAAAUGCGUAGAGAUCGGGAGGAAUACCAGCGGCGAAGGCGGCUUACUGGACAGUGACUGACGCUGAAACACGAAAGCGUGGGUAGCAAACAGG
rnacentral:rRNA from 1 species